rnacentral:lncRNA from 1 species
UCCGGCCACAACAACUUCGAAUUCUUCAACCUUCAAUCGACGUGACAGCCUUGCUCUCCGACCACCUUUCAAUCCUCGGUGACUUCAACCUCCUACGACAAAUAGUUGGACUUCGAGUUUCUUUUCAACUUUAACCUUCAAUCGACGUGACAACCUUGCUCUCCGAACACAACAGCUUCGAAUUCUUCAACCUUCAAUCGACGUGACAGCCUUGCUCUCCGG